rnacentral:rRNA from 1 species
GAUGAACGCUAGCGGGAGGCUUAAUACAUGCAAGUCGAGGGGUAACAUUAGAGCUUGCUCUAGAUGACGACCGGCGCACGGGUGAGUAACGCGUACACGACCUACCUUAGAGAAGAGGAUAGCCCUGGGAAACUGGGAGUAAUACUCUAUGGUAUUAAUUUAUUGCGAUAAUUUAAUUAAAGGUUUCGGCCGCUCUAAGAUGGGUGUGCGUCUCAUUAGCUAGUUGGUAAGGUAACGGCUUACCAAGGCGACGAUGGGUAGGGGGCGUGAGAGCGUGAUCCCCCACACGGGUACUGAGACACGGACCCG